AUUGAACGCUGGCGGCAGGCUUAACACAUGCAAGUCGAGCGGGGAAGAGUAGCUUGCUACUUUACCUAGCGGCGGACGGGUGAGUAAUGCUUAGGAAUCUGCCUAUUAGUGGGGGACAACAUCUCGAAAGGGAUGCUAAUACCGCAUACGUCCUACGGGAGAAAGCAGGGGACCUUCGGGCCUUGCGCUAAUAGAUGAGCCUAAGUCGGAUUAGCUAGUUGGUGGGGUAAAGGCCUACCAAGGCGACGAUCUGUAGCGGGUCUGAGAGGAUGAUCCGCCACACUGGGACUGAGACACGGCCCAGACUCCUACGGGAGGCAGCAGUGGGGAAUAUUGGACAAUGGGGGGAACCCUGAUCCAGCCAUGCCGCGUGUGUGAAGAAGGCCUUUUGGUUGUAAAGCACUUUAAGCGAGGAGGAGGCUACCGAGAUUAAUACUCUUGGAUAGUGGACGUUACUCGCAGAAUAAGCACCGGCUAACUCUGUGCCAGCAGCCGCGGUAA
rnacentral:rRNA from 1 species